rnacentral:misc_RNA from 1 species
GAUGAAGAACGUAGCGAAAUGCGAUAAGUAAUGCGAAUUGCAGAAUUUCCGUGAGUCAUCGAAUCUUUGAACGCACAUUGCGCCCACUGGUAUUCCGGUGGGCAUGCCUGUUCGAGCGUCAUUAUCCUCCCUCAAACCCCGGGUUUGGUGUUGGACCCAAGUUGUGUGAACAACUGGUCUCAAAGACAAUGACGGCGUCCGUGGGACCCUCGGCGCAACGAGCUUUUAGGAGCACGCAUCGAGUUGCAAGGACCUUCCGGGCCGGUCUCCUUUACCAUUUUACAAGGUUGACCUCGGAUCAGGUAGGAAUACCCGCUGAACUUAAGCAUAUCAAUAAGCGGAGGA